UACGUAGGGGGCUAGCGUUGUUCGGAAUCACUGGGCGUAAAGGGCGCGUAGGCGGCCCGCACAAGUCUGCGGUGAAAACCCCCGGCUUAACCGGGGGCCGGCCGUGGAAACUGUCGGGCUGGAGGCUGGGGAGAGGGCAGCGGAAUUCCCGGUGUUAGCGGUGAAAUGCGGUAGAAGAUCGGGAGGAACACCGGCGGGCGA
rnacentral:rRNA from 1 species